GCCUUCGUAGCGUAGGGGUUAUCGCGUUAGUCUUGUAAACUAAAGGUCGGGAGUUCAAAUCUCCUCGAAGGCA